rnacentral:tRNA from 1 species
UAGUUAAUAUUUGAAUAUAACAUCUUAUUUACAUUAAGGGAUAAAUAUAUUUGUUUAAGAA